AUGUCCUCACCACAAACCGCCGUCACGAACCGCCAUCCACAGCCAUUGCUCACAUCACCUGCAGAUCCACCGCCGACAACCAGAGCCGUCGUACGACUCACAGCCAGCCUCCCGUCCGCUUCCGAUUCCGAUCAUACUAGAUCCACGGUCGCACGACCUCUGCGAACUCAACUCCAACAACACCACCACCAAUACGGGACCCGCAACCAUCGAAUCAUCCUUUUCUCACGACAUCUCCACCUCUUCUCGAAACUGCUACAUCACCCAGCCACCUGUCCUUUGGAUCGAUCAGAGAACUUGAAAGAAAAUAUGUAA